UGUUUUUGUAGCUAUAUUUAUAAGUAGAGGGCUUUUAACUCUUUGAAACAAUAAUUUGUCAAAAAUAGC
rnacentral:tRNA from 1 species